rnacentral:rRNA from 1 species
GAUGAACGCUAGCGGCAGGCUUAAUACAUGCAAGUCGAGGGGCAGCAUGUCCCGUAGCAAUACGGGAUGAUGGCGACCGGCAAACGGGUGCGGAACACGUACAGAACCUUCCUUUAAGCGGGGAAUAGCCCAGAGAAAUUUGGAUUAAUACCCCAUAGUAUAUUGAAAAGGCAUCUUUUUAAUAUUAAAGAUUUAUCACUUGAAGAUGGCUGUGCGGCUGAUUAGGUAGUUGGCGGGGUAACGGCCCCCCAAGCCUGCGAUCAGUAACUGGUGUGAGAGCCCGACCAGUCACACGGGCACUGAGACACGGGCCCGACUCCUACGGGAGGCAGCAGUAAGGAAUAUUGGUCAAUGGACGCAAGUUUGAACCAGCCAUGCCGCGUGGAGGAUGAAGGUCCUUUGGAUUGUAAACUUUUUUUAUAUGGGACGAAAAAGGGUCUUUUUAGAUCAACUGACGGUACCAUAUGAAUAAGCACCGGCUAACUCCGUG